rnacentral:tRNA from 1 species
GCCUGGGUGGCUCAGUCGGUUGAGCGUCCGACUUCAGCUCAGGUCAUGAUCCAAUGGUCUGUGGGUUCGAGCCCCGCGUCAGGCU